CACGUAGGGUGCGAGCGUUGUCCGGAAUUAUUGGGCGUAAAGAGCUCGUAGGCGGUGUGUCGCGUCGGCCGUGAAAACUUGCAGCUUAACUGUGGGCGUGCGGUCGAUACGGGCAUCACUGGAGUUCGGCAGGGGAGACUGGAAUUCCUGGUGUAGCGGUGAAAUGCGCAGAUAUCAGGAGGAACACCGGUGGCGAAGGCGGGUCUCUGGGCCGAUACUGACGCUGAGGCACGAAAGCGUGGGGAGCAAACAGG
rnacentral:rRNA from 1 species